GACGAACGCUGGCGGCGUGCUUAACACAUGCAAGUCGAACGGAAAGGCCCUGCUUGCAGGGUACUCGAGUGGCGAACGGGUGAGUAACACGUGGGUGAUCUGCCCUGCACUUCGGGAUAAGCUUGGGAAACUGGGUCUAAUACCGGAUAGGAGCCAUCUUUAGUGUGGUGGUUGGAAAGUUUUUUCGGUGUAGGAUGAGCUCGCGGCCUAUCAGCUUGUUGGUGGGGUAAUGGCCUACCAAGGCGGCGACGGGUAGCCGGCCUGAGAGGGUGUACGGCCACAUUGGGACUGAGAUACGGCCCAGACUCCUACGGGAGGCAGCAGUGGGGAAUAUUGCACAAUGGGCGCAAGCCUGAUGCAGCGACGCCGCGUGGGGGAGGAAGGCCUUCGGGUUGUAAACGCCUUUCGCUAGGGACGAAGCUUUUUGUGACGGUACCUAGAUAAGAAGCACCGGCUAACUACGUG
rnacentral:rRNA from 1 species